GACGGAGGAUGCAAGCGUUAUCCGGAAUGCUUGGGCGUAAAGCGUCCGCAGGUGGCAGUUCAAGUCUGCUGUCAAAGACCGGGGCUCAACCUCGGAAAGGCAGUGGAAACUGAACAGCUAGAGUAUGGUAGGGGCAGAGGGAAUUCCUGGUGUAGCGGUGAAAUGCGCAGAGAUCAGGAAGAACAUCGGUGGCGAAGGCGGGCUGCUGGACCAUAACUGACGCUCAGGGGCGAAAGCUAGGGGAGCGAAUGGG
rnacentral:rRNA from 1 species